rnacentral:lncRNA from 1 species
UUUCAAACUUUAAUUAAUAUUACUAGUACUAUCUGUUUGUACACAUUAGAAUUUUGUAGGUUCAUGGAACCUAACACGGACAAAGAAUUCUUCUUAAGAAACCAAUUUGUGUCAUCUAUAUAAUUAAGGAAGGGAAAGCCUUUGAUUGAAAAAAAAAAAAUACACAAAAUUGAAGAAAAAAAAUAUUUCUAUAGACUGGAGGUUUCAGAAACAGGUUGUAGGAAGUGAGGGACUUUUUUUUUUGACAAGCAAGUUAGGGACUCGAUAUAUGCAUGAGGUGUCUUCGCUUUAGACGAAAGAAGAAACAAAAUAAAUAUCUAAGCGAUAGUGUCCUAUACAGAUAUGGAGGUGGACUUCAAGGUUCUAAUCAACCUAAGCUUAAUAAAAGGAAAAGUUUUUAUCUGAUGAGUUGCCUCGAUUGUUUCUCACUAGGCGCUGAUGUCGCCGAUGCUCGAUGUGGUGGUGGAGGAGAUAGUUGAUAAAAAACAAUUUUUUAGUUUGUAUACUAGUAAAAAAAUAUUUUUUUUUAUUGUAUGGCAGACAUUAAAUUA